UGGGGAAUAUUGCACAAUGGGCGCAAGCCUGAUGCAGCCAUGCCGCGUGUAUGAAGAAGGCCUUCGGGUUGUAAAGUACUUUCAGCGGGGAGGAAGGUGUUGAGGUUAAUAACCUCAGCAAUUGACGUUACCCGCAGAAGAAGCACCGGCUAACUCCGUGCCAGCAGCCGCGGUAAUACGGAGGGUGCAAGCGUUAAUCGGAAUUACUGGGCGUAAAGCGCACGCAGGCGGUCUGUCAAGUCGGAUGUGAAAUCCCCGGGCUCAACCUGGGAACUGCAUUCGAAACUGGCAGGCUAGAGUCUUGUAGAGGGGGGUAGAAUUCCAGGUGUAGCGGUGAAAUGCGUAGAGAUCUGGAGGAAUACCGGUGGCGAAGGCGGCCCCCUGGACAAAGACUAACGCUCAGGUGCGAAAGCGUGGGGAGCAAACA
rnacentral:rRNA from 1 species